UACGUAGGGUGCAAGCGUUGUCCGGAAUUAUUGGGCGUAAAGAGCUCGUAGGCGGUUUGUCGCGUCUGCUGUGAAAACUCGGGGCUCAACCCCGGGCCUGCAGUGGGUACGGGCAGACUAGAGUGCGGUAGGGGAGACUGGAAUUCCUGGUGUAGCGGUGAAAUGCGCAGAUAUCAGGAGGAACACCGGUGGCGAAGGCGGGUCUCUGGGCCAUAACUGACGCUGAGGAGCGAAAGCGUGGGGAGCGAACAGG
rnacentral:rRNA from 1 species